UACGUAGGGUGCGAGCGUUAAUCGGAAUUACUGGGCGUAAAGCGUGCGCAGGCGGUUUUGCAAGACAGAUGUGAAAUCCCCGGGCUUAACCUGGGAACUGCAUUUGUGACUGCAAGGCUAGAGUGUGUCAGAGGGAGGUGGAAUUCCGCGUGUAGCAGUGAAAUGCGUAGAUAUCGAGAGGAACACCAGUGGCGAAGGCGAGUCCCUGGACAAAACCUGACACUGAGGCACGAAAGCUAGGGGAGCAAACAGG
rnacentral:rRNA from 1 species